AAAAAGGGUAAAAUCUGAAUUUUCGUGUUUAAUUUUAUCUGUUUUUUUUAUAUAAAUUUUUUUUAUAAUUCGUAUUUUUAUUGUUGUUAGAUGAUAAAACAUGAUUAAUAUUUUAUGCCUGACUUAUCUUUUUAAUUUUUUUCAUAAUUUUUUCAAAUAAAACGGACGGUCAAAUGUUGGACACAGAAAUCAAG
rnacentral:pre_miRNA from 1 species